rnacentral:rRNA from 1 species
GAGACAUCUCCUAGUGUGAAAAACUCCGGUGGUACAGGAUGGGCCCGCGUCUGAUUAGCUGGUUGGCAGGGUAACGGCCUACCAAGGCAACGAUCAGUAGCCGGUCUGAGAGGAUGAACGGCCACAUUGGAACUGAGACACGGUCCAAACUCCUACGGGAGGCAGCAGUGGGGAAUAUUGCACAAUGGGGGAAACCCUGAUGCAGCAACGCCGCGUGAGUGAAGAAGUAUUUCGGUAUGUAAAGCUCUAUCAGCAGGGAAGAUAAUGACGGUACCUGACUAAGAAGCUCCGGCUAAAUACGUGCCAGCAGCCGCGGUAAUACGUAUGGAGCAAGCGUUAUCCGGAUUUACUGGGUGUAAAGGGUGCGUAGGUGGCAGUGCAAGUCAGAUGUGAAAGGCCGGGGCUCAACCCCGGAGCUGCAUUUGAAACUGCUCGGCUAGAGUACAGGAGAGGCAGGCGGAAUUCCUAAUGUAGCGGUGAAAUGCGUAGAUAUUAGGAGGAACACCAGUGGCGAAGGCGGCCUGCUGGACUGUUACUGACACUGAGGCACGAAAGCGUGGGGAGCAAACAGGAUUAGAUACCCUGGUAGUCCACGCCGUA